rnacentral:lncRNA from 1 species
AUUUUGACAUCUGAAUUAGAUCCAUGAGCUUAAUUAGGAAUUAAAGAUGAAAUUAAAAGAUCUAAUUAAAAAUUCAGAUCUGGCAUAAUUUCAUAAAUCAUGGAUAAAUGAUGUGGGUAGCUCAAUUAGGUCUAGUGGGAGCGAUUAAUCAAACCGACUCAAGAGUUGAUUAGGUUUGGAUUAAGAAUGCUUUAUGAUCAAUCCAAUAGUUGUAGUUUGAUC